AAACCCUACCAAAACAGCAACAAUCCAGCAACAAGCUCUCUAAGGAUCUACACACCAACAAUUACCAAAACUCCAUCAAUAAUUCAAAAUUCAGCACUUAAGCUUAAAUUAGUCUCAAUCUCAAUGUCAACUUCAGCUUCCAAUCUUCAAAUCUGAUGAAAUAAAGUUUCACAACCUGUGAACUAUGAUGGAGUAUCACCCUCUGGUCCAAAAUCUAACUUCCUCCAAAGAUUGAAUCAAGAAAACCCAAAAACUCUCAAUUUCAGUCCAAAAACACCAGCAUCACAGAAAAAUGCCAAAUUGACUAUGCUAACCUCAAUCAAAUACUGUCAAAAUG
rnacentral:lncRNA from 1 species